AGUAGCUCAGUUGGUAGAGCAAUCGGCUGUUAACCGAUCGGUCGUAGGUUCGAGUCCUACCU
rnacentral:tRNA from 1 species